GACGAACGCUGGCGGCGUGCUUAACACAUGCAAGUCGAACGCUGAAGCUCAGCUUUUGUUGGGUGGAUGAGUGGCGAACGGGUGAGUAACACGUGAGUAACCUGCCCCCUUCUUUGGGAUAACGCCCGGAAACGGGUGCUAAUACUGGAUAUUCACUGGCUUUCGCAUGGGGGUUGGUGGAAAGGUUUUUCUGGUGGGGGAUGGGCUCGCGGCCUAUCAGCUUGUUGGUGGGGUGAUGGCCUACCAAGGCUUUGACGGGUAGCCGGCCUGAGAGGGUGACCGGUCACAUUGGGACUGAGAUACGGCCCAGACUCCUACGGGAGGCAGCAGUGGGGAAUAUUGCACAAUGGGCGAAAGCCUGAUGCAGCGACGCCGCGUGAGGGAUGGAGGCCUUCGGGUUGUAAACCUCUUUCGCUCAUGGUCAAGCCGCAGCUUUGGGUUGUGGUGAGGGUAGUGGGUAAAGAAGCGCCGGCUAACUACGUGCCAGCAGCCGCGGUAAUACUUAGGGCGCGAGCGUUUGUCCGGAAUUAUUGGGCGUAAAGGGCUUGUAGGCGGUUGGGCGCGUCUGCCGUGAAAUCCUCUGGUUAACUGGGUGCGUGCGGUGGGUACGGGCUGACUUGAGUGCGGUAGGGGAGACUGGAACUCCUGGUGUAGCGGUGAAAUCGCAUAUCCAGGAAGAUGACCUGUGGCGAAGGCGUGUCUUCUGUGCCGUUACUGUCUCUUGAGGUGCGUAGCUGUGGGAGCGAAUAGG
rnacentral:rRNA from 1 species